rnacentral:tRNA from 1 species
GGAUUGUGGCUCAGUGGUAGAGUGCUUGCCUCGCAUGUGUGAGGUACUGGGUUCAACUCUCAGCACCA